rnacentral:rRNA from 1 species
GACGAACGCUGGCGGCGUGCUUAACACAUGCAAGUCGAACGGAAAGGCCCUGCUUUUGUUGGGUGCUCGAUUGGCGAACGGGUGAGUAACACGUGAGUAACCUGCCCUUGACUUUGGGAUAACUUCAGGAAACUGCGGCUAAUACCGGAUAUGAGCUCCUGCUGCAUGGUGGUGGUUGGAAAGUUUCGGCGGUUGUGGAUGGACUCGCGGCUUAUCCGCUUGUUGGUGGGGUAGUGGCUUACCAAGGCUUUGACGGGUAGCCGGCCUGAGAGGGUGACCGGCCACAUUGGGACUGAGAUACGGACCAGAAUGCUACGGGAGGCAGUAGUGGGGAAUAUUGCACAAUGGGCGGAAGCCUGAUGCAGAAACGCCGCGUGCGGGAUGACGGCCUUCGGGUUGUAAACAGCUUUCGACUGUGACGAAGAGUGAGUGACGGUAAUGGGUAAAGAAGCACCGGCUAACUACGUG